UUGGAGGGCAAGUCUGGUGCCAGCAGCCGCGGUAAUUCCAGCUCCAAUAGCGUAUAUUAAAGUUGUUGCAGUUAAAAAGCUCGUAGUUGAAUUUCGGGAUCAAUAUAUCGGUCGUGCCUUCGGUAUGUACUGGUAUUAUUGGUUUCUCCCUUCUGACAAACUAUGAUGUCAUUAAUUUGGUGUCAUGGGGAAUCAGGACUGUUACUUUGAAAAAAUUAGAGUGUUUAAAGCAGGCACACGCUUGAAUACAUUAGCAUGGAAUAAUGAAAUAGGACGUUUGACCCUAUUUUGUUGGUUUCUAGGAUCGACGUAAUGAUUAAUAGGGAUAGUUGGGGGCAUUAGUAUUCAAUUGUCAGAGGUGACAUUCUUGGAUUUAUUGAAGACUAACUACUGCGAAAGCAUUUGCCAAGGAUGUUUUCAUUAAUCAAGAACGAAAGUUAGGGGAUCGAAGACGAUCAGAUACCGUCGUAGUCUUAACCAUAAACUAUGCCGACUAGGGAUCGGAUGAUGUUAAUUUUUUAAUGACUCAUUCGGCGCCUUACGGGAAAC
rnacentral:rRNA from 1 species